GACGAACGCUGCGGCGUGCCUAAUCCAUGCAAGUGGGACGCAAGGAAACACACUGUGCUUGCACACCGUGUUUUCUUGAGUCGCGAACGGGUGAGUAACGCGUAGGUAACCUGCCUAUUAGCGGGGGAUAACUAUUGGAAACGAUAGCUAAUACCGCAUAAUAUUAAUUAUUGCAUGAUAAUUGAUUGAAAGAUGCAAGCGCAUCACUAGUAGAUGGACCUGCGUUGUAUUAGCUAGUUGGUAAGGUAAGAGCUUACCAAGGCGACGAUACAUAGCCGACCUGAGAGGGUGAUCGGCCACACUGGGACUGAGACACGGCCCAGACUCCUACGGGAGGCAGCAGUAGGGAAUCUUCGGCAAUGGACGAAAGUCUGACCGAGCAACGCCGCGUGAGUGAAGAAGGGUUUCGGAUCGUAAAGCUCUGUUGUAAGUCAAGAACGUGUGUGAGAGUGGAAAGUUCACACAGUGACGGUAGCUUACCAGAAAGGGACGGCUAACUACGUG
rnacentral:rRNA from 1 species